AGUGAACGCUGGCGGUAGGCCUAACACAUGCAAGUCGAACGGCAGCACAGUAAGAGCUUGCUCUUACGGGUGGCGAGUGGCGGACGGGUGAGGAAUACAUCGGAAUCUACUUUUUCGUGGGGGAUAACGUAGGGAAACUUACGCUAAUACCGCAUACGACCUACGGGUGAAAGCAGGGGAUCUUCGGACCUUGCGGGAUUGAAUGCGCCGAUGUCGGAUUAGCUAGUUGGCGGGGUAAAGGCCCACCAAGGCGACGAUCCGUAGCUGGUCUGAGAGGAUGAUCAGCCACACUGGAACUGAGACACGGUCCAGACUCCUACGGGAGGCAGCAGUGGGGAAUAUUGGACAAUGGGCGCAAGCCUGAUCCAGCCAUACCGCGUGGGUGAAGAAGGCCUUCGGGUUGUAAAGCCCUUUUGUUGGGAAAGAAAAGCAGCAGGUUAAUACCCCGCUGUUCUGACGGUACCCAAAGAAUAAGCACCGGCUAACUUCGUG
rnacentral:rRNA from 1 species